ensembl:lncRNA
GUAGUAUAAAGUCAUUACAACAUACACCCCGAUAUUAUGAUUAUAAAAAUAGUAAUGAUAAAUUAUCUGAAAGGAGUUAUAAUAAAAGUAUGUAUAAAUAUGAUAGUAAUAAUAAUAAUAAUAUUAAUAAUAAUAAUAUUAUUAUUAGACAUAAGAAUAAACAUAACUCUUACAAGAGUAAUAAAAGUGAGAACCGAUUUCGAAACGUAUCCAUCCGCAGCAUAAAUGAUAGUAUACAUAAAAGCAGAAGGAUGAGUGAGCAUGAUUACAAAUGUAUUGAUAAUAGUAGUAAUAAAAAAUAUAAUAAAACAAUAAUUCCUAUAAAAAAAAAAAUGGAAAAUAAUUAUAUGAACAAUAAUUUUUAUUAUAAUCAGCGAAAUUAUAGAGAUAGUAACAUUUGUAACAAUAAAUAUAAUUAUUCGUCUAAUUAUAGUUACACGGGUUGUUACAAAGGUAGCCGUAAAUACUCUUCUUCUAUGAGGUUUUAUAAAAAUGAUGUAGAAGAAAGUCAAUCUUCAUCUGGUAAAGUAAGACCAAACGUAGUAGUACCAAACACAACAAGAUCAAAUACAAUGAGGCCAAACACAUUGAGGACAAACGUAGUAAAAAAAACAGAACUCCAUAGUAUUGACGAAAAACAAUUUUUACCUCAAAGAAGCUACUCUUCAACAUCAAAAUUUGAACUAAGAAAGAAUUUAAUAUAUAGUAAUAAAAAACUACGCGAUUUAUCUGAUAAAAUCAACAAUACAAUAACAAAUGAUAUAAAGCAUUAUUACAACUCACAACAAAACAUACUAAAAGAAAACAGUAGAGACAUUUCAGUUUCAAGUUCUAUGUUAUUAAAUAAAAAUGAGAAAAACUUAAAAAGUAACACUAGUUCUGAUUUUAACAAAAAAAAUGUAAUUAUAAAAAAUAAAAAAAAACAAAGUAUUCCGAAUAGUAACUUAAUAAAAAAGAAUAGUAAAAAAGAUAUAUAUGCUUUUUUACAUCACCAAAGAGUGUUAAAUAAAAAAUAUACUUCACCUUAUACAUACAAAAAAGGAGAUGAAAAUAGUUAUAAGUAUAAUAGAAGAAUAAAAAUAGGAAAUACGGAGAAUAUCAUAGAAAGAAAUAUUAAAAAUGUUGGAGUAAAAAAAAAUGAAGACACAAUAGUGCCACAUAAUAAAAAUGAUGAAAAUAAAAAAAAUAAAAAAAAAAUGCAGAAUGUGGGUAACAGAGAGCAUGGUGAACAGAAUAAUGACGAAGGAAAGAGUGAGAAAAAAAUUGAUCCUAUAAAUGACAAAAAAAAAGAAUUAAACUGUGACAGUAGUAUCACUCAAUAUAGUAAUAAUGACUCCUGUGAUAGCACUUACUCUAUAAAAAAAAUUAAAACAUAUUUANAUAAUCAACAGGAGCAAAGGCAAGAGAAAAUGUUACGACAACACGCAAAAAAGGAAAAAAAAGAAAUAUAUGAAUGUGUUCAUAAAAAAAAUGUAAUUAAUGGUAUGAGAAACGAUAAGAGGAAUUCACAUGGAACUAUUUUAAAGAAAAAUAUACCAGAAAAAAAAGAACACGAAGAAAGUCAAGAGCAACAAGAUAUAGAUCAACUUAGUAAUGACCAACUAAGUAAUGACCAACUAAGUAAUGACCAACUAAGUAAUGACCAACUAAAUUAUGACCAACUAAAUUAUGACCAACUAAAUUAUGACCAACUAAAUAAUGACCAACUAAGUAAUGACCAACCGAG